UACGUAGGGUGCGAGCGUUGUCCGGAAUUAUUGGGCGUAAAGAGCUCGUAGGCGGUUUGUCGCGUCGGCCGUGAAAUCUCCACGCUUAACGUGGAGCGUGCGGUCGAUACGGGCAGACUUGGAGUUCGGUAGGGGAGACUGGAAUUCCUGAUGUAGCGGUGAAAUGCGCAGAUAUCAGGAGGAACACCGGUGGCGAAGGCGGGUCUCUGGGCCGAUAUCGACGC
rnacentral:rRNA from 1 species